UACGGAGGAUGCAAGCGUUAUCCGGAAUGAUUGGGCGUAAAGCGUCCGCAGGUGGUUAUACAAGUCUGCUGUCAAAGCGCAAGGCUCAACCUUGUAAAGGCAGUGGAAACUGUGUGACUAGAGAGUGAUAGGGGCAGAGGGAAUUCCCAGUGUAGCGGUGAAAUGCGUAGAGAUUGGGAAGAACGCCGGUGGCGAAAGCGCUCUGCUGGGUCAUAUCUGACACUGAGGGACGAAAGCUAGGGGAGCGAAAGGG
rnacentral:rRNA from 1 species